UGGUGGAGUGGUUUGUCUGGUUAAUUCCGUUAACGAACGAGACCUUAACCUGCUAAAUAGUUACAGCGAAUCUGGGAUUCCUGGAUAACUUCUUAGAGGGACUAUGGAUGUUUAAUCCAUGGAAGUUUGAGGCAAUAACA
rnacentral:rRNA from 1 species